rnacentral:rRNA from 1 species
GAGUUUGAUCCUGGCUCAGAUUGAACGCUGGCGGCAUGCCUUACACAUGCAAGUCGAACGGCAGCACGGGAGCAAUCCUGGUGGCGAGUGGCGAACGGGUGAGUAAUAUAUCGGAACGUGCCCAGUUGUGGGGGAUAGCCCGGCGAAAGCCGGAUUAAUACCGCAUACGACCUACGGGUGAAAGCGGGGGAUCGCAAGACCUCGCGCGAUUGGAGCGGCCGAUAUCAGAUUAGCUAGUUGGCGGGGUAAGAGCCCACCAAGGCGACGAUCUGUAGCUGGUCUGAGAGGACGACCAGCCACACUGGGACUGAGACACGGCCCAGACUCCUACGGGAGGCAGCAGUGGGGAAUUUUGGACAAUGGGCGCAAGCCUGAUCCAGCCAUGCCGCGUGUGGGAAGAAGGCCUUCGGGUUGUAAACCACUUUUGUCAGGGAAGAAACGGUCUGAACUAAUAUUUUGGACUAAUGACGGUACCUGAAGAAUAA